ensembl:lncRNA
UGUGUCAGCAACUGGCUAUCUUCUUCAGAGGCACAAUGAAUUUUGCAUAAUGUUAAUGAGAGGAAGUUUCGUAGUUCUGUCACGGAAGUACAAGGUACUACAAUCACCCCCUUGCUUUGUAUGGGCAGAAUCAGACCAGAUGAGGGACAAAAUAAUAAGUGAAAAGAAGACUUCUUCCAGGGCUAUAUUCAGUUAACCCUAAUAGACAGUUGAAGUACCAUUCACUACAUCUUCAGACUUAUGAAUUCUUCUGCAUAGGAUUCAUCUCUUUCAUUUCUAUUCCUCAUGGAGGGGCAAUCAUGCUUAACCACUUGAUAGCUUUCUAGGAUGAGAUGACCAGCUUGGCAGACAGCUUUAUGACACUGUCCACUAAUAACAUCAAUAGGAAAGCUGACAAGGUCAGUCUAGGUAAAUGAACAGGGAGAUGGACUGAAAACUGCCUGAACAGCCAGGCUCAGAUUGUUGGGAUGAGCAUCAUGUCAUCCAGCCGGAGAUCAGUCACUGGAGUAUUACCCUAGGGACUGUUACUGCCCUCUGUACUGCUUAACCACUUUGUUAAUUACCUGGAUGAUGGGACAGGCUGUGCACCUAGCAAGCUUGCAGAUGGUACAGAACGGAAGGGAGUGGCAGACACUCUAGUUUGAUAUGCUGCCAUCCAGAGGGAUCUCAGCAGGCUGGAGAAAUGAGCAGAAAGGAGUGUCACGAAGUUCAGCAAAGGCAAAUAUCAAGUCUUGCACAAGGGCAGGAAUAACCACAAUAACCUGUACAGAAUGGGAGCCAGCCAGGUGAAAAGCAACUCUGCAGAAUGGAAUCUGGGUGCCAUGGUGGACAACAGGACCAUGAGCCAACAAUGUAUUACUACAGCAGAGGCAGCUGAUGGUAUCCUGGGCUGCACUAGGAAAAGUGUAACCAACAGGUGAGGGAGGUGAUUCUUCUCCUCUCCAAGCAGUGGUGAGGCCACAUCUGGAGUGCUGUGUCCACUGCUGGGCUCUCCAGUGAAUGACCACAAGGAUGUGACCAGAGGACCUUCUCACGUGAAGAGAUAGUUGUGACUGUUUAGUCUGGAGAAGGGAAGGCUCAAAGGGGAAUUUUAUCAAUAUUUAUAAAUAUCUGAUGGAAUAAUAUAGAGAAGCCAGAUUUUGGCCUGUGUUGCCCAGUGACUGACAAGAGGCACUAAAACUCAGGAGGUUCUCUCUAAACAUUAGGAAUCCCUUCUUUACUGUGAGGGUUAUUGAUCACUGAAGUAAGUUGCCCAGAGAAGUUGUAGAGGCUCAGUCCUUGGACUUAUGCAAAAUGUGACGGCAAAAGAAACGGAUCAACAAGCACUAGAUGAGCUUACACUUACAGGUAUAAAAAAGGGCUUGCCUAUCUAGCAGGAUAAAAUCUAACUUUAUAUGUAAGAAUACCAGCGUGGAACUUGUUCAGGAUACCACAGUCAGUACUUAACACUGGAGUUGUAGUAGAGUUUCCUAUAUGAAGAAGUAGUCUUCAUAGAAUUAACAGCAGUUCCAUAAUGGUGAGUCAGUGCUAGCACUGACACUGCUAUCCUUAAGCUCCAUAGGUGCCUCUUGUACCUCAUUUUAAACCAGAUAUUGUUAAAUGUCAAGUAAAGAGGAUAUAGAAAACAAGUGCAAAAGGAAAAUGCAAAUGCAUUUCAUUCAGACACAUGUAUGUUUGGUAACUCUCAUUGCAAUUGCAGAUAUUUUUCAUAGACAUGUGUACACAGAAUUGUAUUCAUCCCCUUACCUUCUGACCACAAACACUAUCAGAGAAUGUAAGAAGACGAGCCGUGUUCUAGCCCUCAUAGCUCUGUUGUAAGAAACUUGAGGUACACCAUAUAUCCCCCUUUUUCCCUUCUGAAUUCCCCAUGUCAGUUUUUAAGGGAGUUAUGUGAUCUAACAUGAGAAUUUCAGCCUGAGAAGCUUUGUUCUGCAUGUGAGUACAUUUGUUUUCAGUUUAGAGGUGUUAUGUGCAACUCUUGACAGGUUAAAAGACAGCCAU